rnacentral:rRNA from 1 species
GACGAACCGAGCGAACGUUGUUCGGAAUCACUGGGCUUAAAGGGCGUGUAGGCGGGUGCUCAAGUCCGGGGUGAAAUCCCACAGCUCAACUGUGGAACUGCCUCGGAUACUGGGUGUCUCGAGGGUGGUAGGGGUAUGCGGAACUAUCGGUGGAGCGGUGAAAUGCGUUGAGAUCGGAAAGAACACCAACGGCGAAAGCACUCUGCUGGGCCGACACUGACACUGAGAGACGAAAGCUAGGGGAGCAAAUGGG